UACGGAGGGUGCAAGCGUUGUCCGGAAUCACUGGGCGUAAAGGGCGCGUAGGCGGCUCAUGAAGGCUGUGGUGAAAGUCCGGGGCUCAACCUCGGAUCGGCCGUGGCGACUCGUGGGCUGGAGCACUGUAGAGGGCGGGUGGAAUUCCGGGUGUAGCGGUGGAAUGCGUAGAGAUCCGGAAGAACACCAGUGGCGAAGGCGGCCCGCUGGGCAGUGGCUGACGCUGAGGCGCGACAGCGUGGGGAGCAAGAGGA
rnacentral:rRNA from 1 species